rnacentral:rRNA from 1 species
ACGGGUGAGUAACGCGUAGGUAUCUACCUCAUAGUGGGGGAUAACCUGGGGAAACCCAGGCUAAUACCGCAUGAGUCCUAAGGGGGAAAGCAGGGGACCGAAAGGCCCUGUGCUAUGAGAUGAGCCUGCGUCGGAUUAGCUAGUUGGUAGGGUAAAGGCCUACCAAGGCGAGGAUCCGUAGCUGGUCUGAGAGGACGACCAGCCACACUGGGACUGAGACACGGCCCAGACUCCUACGGGAGGCAGCAGUGGGGAAUAUUGGACAAUGGGCGCAAGCCUGAUCCAGCAAUGCCGCGUGUGUGAAGAAGGCCUGCGGGUUGUAAAGCACUUUCAGUGGGGAGGAAGGCUUCAGUGCUAAUAGUACUGAGGAUUGACGUUACCUACAGAAGAAGCACCGGCUAACUCUGUGCCAGCAGCCGCGGUAAUACAGAGGGUGCGAGCGUUAAUCGGAAUUACUGGGCGUAAAGGGCGCGUAGGUGGUUACUUAAGUCAGAUGUGAAAUCCCUGGGCUUAACCUAGGAAUUGCAUAUGAAACUGAGUAGCUAGAGUACGGGAGAGGGAAGUGGAAUUUCCGGUGUAGC